AUGAGUUGAUUGAUUAUUAAUAAAAGUUAAAGAGAUUUAUCAUUUGUUCCUUGUUUUCGGUAGAUCAUAGGUGAUCUCAACGAAUUUAAGAAGACAUUGAUCUUAGGCAUUCUUAGACUAAAUAAGAUCAUUGUGUUAUUCUAGUUUUCCGAAUAUUCUCAGAAUCAACGUAUCUCUAGUUCUAUCCUAUAAAGCUUCCGCUACAUUGAAAUUGAAUCGCAAGUUACCGGGACUCAAAUGAUGCUUUCGCCUCUACAUCUAAUUCUUCCUUAUCAACGACAUGAUUCAGGUAACCAUUCUUUCUUUGACAUCGAUUCAGGAAGCAAUCUAUGCGAGAUUC
rnacentral:lncRNA from 1 species